UCUGACGCAAUGAACCAGAAGGACAGUAAACCUUCCUGGCCUAUCCAGGGGCGUGAGAAGCAUCGUUCUCAGGAUGACACACACACACACACACACACACACACACACACACACAUCUACUCCUCAAAACACUCAAGUGCCUCACCGCUCUUUAAUCAGUUCAAGACCUU